rnacentral:rRNA from 1 species
UACAGAGGAUGCAAGCGUUGUUCGAAAUUACUGGGCGUAAAGCGCGUGUAGGCGGCUUAAUAAGUCAGGCGUGAAAUCCCUUGGCUCAACCAAGGAACUGCGUUUGAAACUGUUUAGCUAGAGUAUCGGAGGGGAUGGCGGAAUUCCUGGUGUAGAGGUGAAAUUCGUAGAUAUCAGGAGGAACACCCGUGGCGAAGGCGGCCAUCUGGAAGAUUACUGACGCUGAGACGCGAAAGCGUGGGUAGCAAACAGG